rnacentral:tRNA from 1 species
AGGAGGUUAGUUUAAGAAAACAUUUGAUUUCGACUCAAAAGCUUGUGGUUAAACACCACAACCACCUG